ensembl:lncRNA
CUCCGGCAUUCCGAUUGGCCCUCUCCGAGAAAAGGGGCGGGGCCCCUCCUUACUAUGCGGUGCGGGGACCCAACAACAUUCCAGUCGUUAAGGCCACGCCCCGGGCCACUCCCCCCUCGUCGGGCUGCGGCCUCCCAGUCUCCUCGGCCACACCCCCUUCCCAACUACUUAAAAGGACACUCCAAAGCUCACGUUUCCCUCCUCUGUACCGGGGUGUUCUUGUCUGGGUAUCUCUACCCGCUUACGGUGGAAUGGUUGCGCCCUUCGGGUAGCCAAGCAAGCCUCCAGGCAUAAGUCAGGUCGGACCAGGAUGAGAGAGAGGCUUCGGGCAGUUGUUUUACUUCCUGCUUGGCGCUCGAAUUGUGGCCCCUUCGUUUCACGUGAGAAGUUUUAGAUCCAGCCACCAGUUCACAGGCAGUGCAGCAGGAAAACAAGGAUGUUGAAUGACAACAGGGCAAAAUCCAGAGCUUCACAAACUCUGUAGGACGCAAAUGACCCAGAAUCCUUGACUGGUAAAUGACAAGAGAGAGAAAUAGAGAAAACAAAAUGGAG